rnacentral:lncRNA from 10 species
UAAAUUAUGAUGUAAGGUAUUUUCCCUAUAUGUUUUAGUGCAUACUUGUAGAAAUUGGCUUCUGUUAUUUUCUUGUUUACAACAAAGAUCAUCUUUUUGUGCCAUUUCUGAAUUUUGAAUUUUCUUUUGGUUCUUUCUAAUACCUUUUUGUUAGUGGCAUGUUGUAUUGAAGAGCCACUAAACUGGGAGUAAAAAAAAUCUGCCUGUUUCUCUCUUGUUUUGUGAAACAAGUAUAUAUUGUAAAUAUAUAAUUGCUGAAAAAUAAGGAUAAUAUUAUAUUCUACCUAACUUUUGUACACAAUAGCUAUUCACAUUGCUCAAAAGUUGUUUUUCAAUACUUACGGAAAACAUUUAAUUAAACAGAGUUAGCUUGACUGUAUGUAUUUUUUACUUUGGGGUCUAAAACUGUUCAUUCCAGAGGUUCUAGGAAGAUGAAUUGUUUUUUUAACUGGGGAAAUUAAAGACUUACUUCUUGAUAGAGGAUCAUCAAGGAAUGGAUUACAUUUGUAUAUUUCCUUUUAUUUCUGGUAAAUAAAAAAUUAUAGGAGGCCAUUGUUUUGAGCUACACUCCUACACUAGACCCCAACAGAUCAGACUAAAAAUCAAAACGGAGUCGCUCACGCUGUGGUUCCACAUUACCAAACCAAAACUGAGUGGUUAUCUAACCUUUGGAGAAGCCCAAAAGGAGAGAUAACAGCUUAAUUUCCCAAACAGACUGGUUUCAAUCUACAGGAUAAUGAAGUUCCCUCUGCCUUUAAUCUUUAAAGGGAAGGUAACCUGAAGUAACCUGAUAUUAAGCAAUCAGUUAUUUCUCUAUUGUUUCCCUGUUCCUGCCUUACAAGGGAAAUAGCUUUGAAAUGACCAGUCACAUUUUGUUCUACAUUUCUGCUUUCUUCAGUUCUUCUCCGUCUAUAAAACCAAACCCUUCCACUCAGCUUAUUGGAACACUUAUUCUAUUUUAUGGAAUGAAGUGUUGCCCAAUUCUAAAAAUGCAAUAAAGCCAAUUGAGAUCUUUAAGAUAAAUUUGUUGUAGCUUUGUCUUUUGGCAGAUCUAAGCAUACAAGGGCUAGAUUAAUGCACUCAUUCAUUUCCUUAUUUAACAAAAUUGUAUUGAGUGCUUUCCACAUACUAGGUACUUUGCCAGGGCCCAGGGGAUACAGAGGUCAAUUACAAAAACAGUCCCCGUCAUAUUGUCUGCAGACUAGUGUAGAGAUGGACAAGUUAGCUGUUGCAGUAAGAGUGCAUUAGUGGAACACCUGAACCUAGAUUUGGGGGUCAGGAAAGGAAUUCUGAGAGGAAAGUAGAACUGAGAAAUAAAUAGAAAUUAUUCAAGCCUGUGUGUGUUGAGAAAGAGAAAGUGGCAGUGUGUGCAUGUGUUUGUACUUUAAGGAAGAGAAAGAGACAAGCACAGGGAGAGAGAGAACGUGAGUACACACUAAUAGCUUAAGUCUACAUUUGGAUUGUAUUAAAAUAACACCAAAAGCUGAUGGAAACUCAUGCCGCGAUCGUCAUUAGGCUCUUACAAGCUUGCUGGCCAGUUUCAAAGUUUGCUUUCUUGGAACACAUAAAGAUAAUUUAAUAAAUUUUCCGUUCGGGGUAGGAGAAAGUUAAUAGACUACUAAAGGGCCUAAUUUACCUCCCCGGAUUAGAUUAAUCAGACUUAAAAUAGGGCAUCUAAGAUGCAGAUGCCAUGUUUAAAAGUAUACUCUGUGCAAUUCCAGAAGAACAAAGUUUUCCAGAAAGCAUUAGUGUUUGGUCAAUGUAAUAAGACUAAUUUCUCAAGAACCUCACACCUAGGUUUCAGGUAAAAGGAAAAAGAAAAAGUAAUGAUGAUUCUGUUUUUCCUUCUCAGGCACAUUUUUCAAUGCAUUAGACUGUUUGGUUUGGAUGGUGCAAGGAUCAAAUCUAUGUUGUAAGAGGAAAGCCAGAUGAUCUUUCAAAAUGCAUCUAAAAUUUCUUCAGCCAACUCAAAAUGAAUGAGUCAUGUUGACGUUAUACUAGGGAGCCAUGUCUUAAGCUAAAUUCCUAAUCCUUACAUGAUACUGUUUUUAAUCCUUUGGCCUAUUUCCCGAACUAUUCAGUUGGACUCUUGUGCAGUGUCAUUUCUCACACAUCUCAGAGCCCAAGUGGACUUCUUGAUGGAGUUGGCUUUACAUGCCGUGAUGCCUCCUUAGCAUUUUGUAGAAAGAAAUAAGAUCCAAUCCAGUUUCAAAACACCCUGGUUUGGGAGGAUUCUGAAGUUCCCUAAGACCUUUAAAAUGCUUUAAUUUCAAUUCAAGGAUGGCAGCAUGAAUUAAUUAUUCAAAAGACAAAGGAUGCCUCUAAGUGAUCCUUCAAACUUGGGAUUUAUUAAUUCAUUCAAGAGAUAUUUACUGAAUACUUAUUAUGCACCAAGCACUCUUCUAUGUAUUGCAGUGUGGCUGAAAUCCUAGACAUACCCAGUGCUGAGUCAGAAUUUCAAUAUAAUAAGACACACUCCACUGAUCAAUAUAUAUUAAUAAAAAAUAAAUAAAAAUAAAAAAUUCCAUCAGUUGAGUGUUUCAAAUGUUUGGGACAAUCAAAAUCUUGGCUUUGCCACUCAGUAGCUAUGUGACCUUCAACUUCUUUUCUCUGAGCUGCCGUUGUCACAUUUCUUAAUUGUGUCCAACAACUACUUUCAUGAGAGGAAUGGAAGAGAUUGGCUGUAACAAGUCAAAUGCAAGGGGAGCUGCUUUGAGAGCCCUCAACUUGCACUGUUCACCUGUCAGGUUUUAUCUUUCAGGGGUCAGCCAAGCCAGUGGGAAGCCUACGACAUUCCCCUGGGUCACUUAGUGAACUCCUACUCUUUCAUCAGGCCUCACUUGAACAUGACUUCCUCCAGAAGCCUUCCCAGACAUCUUUGAGCUAGAAAGUCAGAAGAGUAGAAUUGGAACCCAGCUCAGUCUGAUGCCACAUCCUUUGUUGUUUCCAUUAAAUCAGAGAAUUUCUUAGUGCUGAGAAACUAUUCUGGAACUUACAACAAAGAUAAAUAGCAGCUGCUACUGGUGCUGUUGAUUGCGAUUUCUGUUUGAAAAUGGAAUCUUGAGCAUCUGUUCUCUCCUUUUAUAUUUUACUGUGAGAGAAAAUCUAUUUUUUUCAAAAGGUAAUUCAUACACAUGGUAAAAAUUUAAACAAUAUAAAAACCUAUUUUUAAAAAACAUAUACUCUUGAGUAUUUCUGUGUACUUUGCUUUCAUCACUAAUACAUCUUUAAGUUUAUUCCAUAUUGGUACGCAAAAUACAUAUUUCAUUAUUCUAAUGAUUACAUAUUACUUAAUUCAAUUUGUAAUACAUAAAUGGCAGUUUACUAAUAUAACCAUAUAAAAAGUAAUCUAACAGAAGUUACAAUGUUUUAUCAGGUGAGCACUACACUGUUAUUUUAAUACUUGCCAGUUAAAUCAAGCAAUGUGACUGCUAAAAGUAGAAUUCCCAUACAGUAGGAAAGCACAAUUUAUUUUUAUAAUAAAAGCAAUAAAUGUG